UAGGUUGAUCUCUCCACCAAUGGGCCCAACGGCUCAUUGGGUCCUUGACCCACGCCCUGAUCGGGGGCGUCCAACCCAAGCAAGGCUGGUGAGCCCCUGUCGCGCAGUGCUAUAAAGAGGAGGUGGGGAUCAGAGGCACGAGGUACGAGGUUCGUCGCCACCACUGUUCCCCACUCCUAACCCUAUCCGAUCUAGAGGGAGGCGCUGAAGCGAUGGGAAGCCCACCGACGCCACCACUCUCGGCCAUCACCAUCGACCUCUACACCGACCGUCGCUGAAGCGAUGGCCGGAACGCUAAGUGGCAGGCAGAGGUGCAAGUUCGUAUGAGGUCGCCGGCUCAAUUCCCUUGGCUAUAUUUUUCAUUUUGAUUAAAACUAUUAUUCCCUACAAAGGAUAUAGAGAUUUCCUAUGCAUAUUCAACCACAAAUGGCGAUGGAUGGGGUGGUACACACCUGUUUCUGUAGUCUGCAUGUAUGUGGUUUGAGUCCCGAGGUCCCUGGCAGGUGGGCCAGGGCUCUUUUAUGAGAGAGAAAACAUCAUGGGUUUUUACGAAUAAAACAAGGGCUUUUUGUGAGAGAGAAAAUAUUGACGGGACUUGUCAUAAAAAAGGGGAUUUUGUGAGAGAGAAAUUGUCAAGCUGGGUUUUCACAAAAGAACGGGCGACUCCCCUGAAGGAAAUAUGCCCUAGAGGCAAUAAUAAAGUUGUUAUUUUAUA